GCUGGCUUACCCCUUGGUGUUCUAAACUUGGCCAAAAUAAAACCGUAUCAGAGGGGCUUUUUCUGUAAUGAUGACAGCAUCAAGUAUCCGUUCCAUGACAGUACCAUCACAUCCACUGUCCUCUACACAGUGGGGUUCACCCUGCCCAUUUUCUCUCUGGCUUGCCUUUUGCAAUUCUCAAUUCAAGACGUAUCCCCUUCCAGAGAGGAGUUUUCUGUAGUGAUGAAUCCAUCCGGUAUCCAUACAAAGAGGACACCAUUUCUUAUAAGUUGUUAGCAGGAAUAAUUAUUCCUUUCAGUAUAACUGUUAUAAUCCUAGGAGAGACUCUCUCUGUCUUUUAUAAUAAUUUGCACUCAAAUUCAUUUGUCAGAAAUAACUACAUAGCCACUAUUUACAAAGCCAUUGGGACCUUCAUUUUUGGAGCAGCUGCUAGCCAGUCAUUGACAGACAUUGCCAAGUACUCCAUAGGUAGGCUGCGUCCUCACUUCCUCGCUGUGUGCCAGCCCGACUGGACACGAAUCAACUGCAGUCUUGGUUACAUUGAGAACUUCUCUUGUCAAGGAGACAAAGCAAAAAUCAAUGAGGGAAGACUAUCAUUUUACUCUGGCCAUUCUUCGUUCUCCAUGUACUGCAUGCUCUUCCUAGCACUUUACCUUCAGGCCAGAAUGAAAGGAGACUGGGCAAGACUUGUACGUCCUACUCUACAAUUUGGUCUUAUUGCUGCAUCUAUCUAUGUGGGUCUCUCACGUGUUUCUGAUUACAAGCAUCAUUGGAGUGAUGUUUUAACAGGACUCAUUCAGGGAGCAGUGGUAGCUGUGCUCAUUGUUGUGUAUGUGUCUGACUUCUUCAAAGUGAGAGGAUGUACAUUUCAACCAAAAGAAGAUUCCCAUACAACCCUACAUGAGACUCCAACAAAUGGAAAUCACUUUGCCAGCAAUCAUCAACCAUGAAGAAUGGCCCACCUCACCUGCCUUGCUCUUUGAAAGGAAAAUAAUUUCACAAGUCUAACUAUGUAAUACAAGUAAAUGCCUUUAAGAGACUGCUGCUGCUCUUGGAUGCUCACCUUACCUGUAUAUAGUAACAUCUACCACUGUAAAUGUAUAUCUAAACUUCAAAUUUCUGUUGGCUCAAGCUCUUGCAUAAAAGAAACCUAUUCAAAUUGUAAAUUUUUAUUGAAAACAUAGUAACAGUUAUAUUACAUACACUGCUGUCUCAGCAAGGCAUGUACAAAUAAAUGACUGUGGUUUUAAAUACACACCAUUAAACAAAAUAAUGACUUGAAAUGAAAA